ensembl:miRNA mir30d microRNA 30d
GUGCUGUAUAUGGGUAUAACUGGUUGUUCAUGCCUGUAAACAUCCCCGACUGGAAGCUGUGCUACGCGGAAAACGAGCUUUCAGUUGGAUGUUUGCUGUCAUCGUCCAGUUCUGUCGCCUUGUAUUAC